AAGGCAGUCUGGUCCCAUCAUUCAGGACCCUAGAUGGCCUCAAACAUGCCCACACCCCAAGUAGACUUAGAAGACCAGAGAGCCUGGCCACCCAGAGGAACCAUGGGGGGAUAAGUGAUGUCUGUACAGCCUCCACGGAGCUCUUGGCUCAGGCCCUCCAAGCUUUUGCACCAUGUAAAGUUCUGGAACCAGGGCUGACUGUGGAAUGAAGCCAUGGAAACCAACUCUAGUGCAAAGACCCUGCCAAGACCCCAUGGCACUUUCUGGGCCAAACCUCAUUUGUUCCCAGCCAGCACUGCCUGCAGUGCUGCUCACCGUGGCUGCUGGCUGAGCUCCUUCAUGGGGUCUCCGUCUGAAACCCUAUUUCUAGUGUCUACUGAAAAUGAGGGCAAAGGACUCAACCAUAAAUAUUCUGUCUUUAUGGCGCGUGCUUCUGCGAGGGCAUGUCAUCAUUUGAAGGCAGCCCAGAAAACGGAAAUAAACUUCAAAGUCUAAAGGAGAAGAAAGAAGGACCCAUGGGAUACUCUUCAAAUGAAAAUAGCUGACCAACAGGAACACAGAAUGGCCAUGUGAGGGUGUAGUAAGAAGGCAGCCAUCUGCAAUCCAAGGAGAGGGACCUCACCAGACACUGACCCUGCUGGCACCUUCAUCUUGGACAUCUUGGACAGUCUUCAGAACUGUGAGAAAACAGAUUGCCACUGUAAAUUCUCUGACAUCCAGGAGCAGAGUCUAUGCCAGGAAAGAGCAAAGGAGCUUUUCAUGAAGUGGCUCCUUGGAGGUUCUUGUGAAAACAGCAUGUCUGACACUGGGGCUACAUACAUUUUUAAAUGCAUUUGUUUUUGUUUUUUUAAAUGGUCAAGAAGCCAAUUGCACGUGAAAUUGUGUAUGAAAGUGUAUUCCCAAACCAGAAUGUGGAGGAGCUGUAGAACACAAUGCCUCUGGAGUUAGGCCGGGUUACAACACUUGUGAUGCUAACCACAUCUUAACUCUCCUGAGAUUGUACUCCUUCAUCUAGAAAAUAAGGCCUUUCCUAACCUUGCAGAGCUCUAGCAAGGGUGAAACAAAAGAUUAUCAAAAACUCUUAGUGUCCAGACUAACCUAUAGUAUGCACUGAAUAAAUAAAAUCUCAAAAAAAAAAAAAAAAA